rnacentral:sRNA from 1 species
GACUUAAAGAUGGAGGAAGCUAUGAGCAAUACAGGUAUUUCGUUUUAUUAUUAAAGCCUAAACAAAGUUCUCCUAUCUUGGCCCAUCCUUCAGUCUCAUCUCUGUGAGUCUGCACCUGUUAUCUUGAGAAACUGCCCUUCCCUCUGGUCUGCCCGAGACCAGGAUCACCCACCAAAGAUAGGUGUCACCUAGGAGACCUUCUUUGUAUAGUUCUUUGGGGACUUUUUCUUUCUUGGUGAUGGUUAACAUUCAUUCUCCUUUGACACUUGAAAACUUAGGCAGUUUCAGCGUCGAAAGUGGCCAGAAAUGAAGAGACCUUCUUCCAAAUCACUGGGACAACUGUGGGAAGGCUGGGAAGGUUAAGAAACAACAGAGGUGGACCUCCAAAAACAUAGAGGCAUCACCUGACUGCACAGGCAAUGAAAAACCAUGUGGGUGAUUUCCAGCAGACCUGUGCUAUUGGCCAGGAGGCCUGAGAAAGCAAGCACGCACUCUCAGUCAACAUGGCAGAUUCUGGAGGAUAACCAGCAGGAGCAGAGAUAACUUCAGGAAGUCCAUUUUUGCCCCUGCUUUUGCUUUGGAUUAUACCUCACCAGCUGCACAAAAUGCAUUUUUUCGUAUCAAAAAGUCACCACUAACCCUCCCCCAGAAGCUCACAAAGGAAAACGAAGAGAGCGAGCCAGAGAGAUUUCCUUGGAAAUUUCCCCCAAGGGCGAAAGUCAUUGGAAUUUUUAAAUCAUAGGGGAAAAGCAGUCCUGUUCUAAAUCCUCUUAUUCUUUUGGUUUGUCACAAAGAAGGAACUAAGAAGCAGGACAGAGGCAACGUGGAGAGGCUGAAAACAGUGCAGAGACGUUUGACAAUGAGUCAGUAGCACAAAAGAGAUGACAUUUACCUAGCACUAUAAACCCUGGUUGCCUCUGAAGAAACUGCCUUCAUUGUAUAUAUGUGACUAUUUACAUGUAAUCAACAUGGGAACUUUUAGGGGAACCUAAUAAGAAAUCCCAAUUUUCAGGAGUGGUGAUGUCAAUAAACGCUCUGUGGCCAGUGUAAAAGAAAAUCCCUCACAGUUGUGGACAUUUCUGUUCCUGUCCAGAUACCAUUUCUCCUAGUAUUUCUUUGUUAUGUCCCAGAACUGAUGUUUUUUUUUAAGGUACUGAAAAGAAAUGAAGUUGAUGUAUGUCCCAAGUUUUGAUGAAACUGUAUUUGUAAAAAAAAUUUUGUAGUUUAAGUAUUGUCAUACAGUGUUCAAAACCCCAGCCAAUGACCAGCAGUUGGUAUGAAGAACCUUUGACAUUUUGUAAAAGGCCAUUUCUUGGA